rnacentral:tRNA from 1 species
GCCUGGCUAGCUCAGUUGGUAAAGCAUGAGACUCUUAAUUUCAGGGUCAAGGGUUUGUGACCCACGUUGGGCG